rnacentral:rRNA from 4 species
CCCCGGUAAACGGCGGCCGUAACUAUAACGGUCCUAAGGUAGCGAAAUUCCUUGUCGGGUAAGUUCCGACCUGCACGAAUGGCGUAAUGAUGGCCAGGCUGUCUCCACCCGAGACUCAGUGAAAUUGAACUCGCUGUGAAGAUGCAGUGUACCCGCGGCAAGACGGAAAGACCCCGUGAACCUUUACUAUAGCUUGACACUGAACAUUGAGCCUUGAUGUGUAGGAUAGGUGGGAGGCUUUGAAGUGUGGACGCCAGUCUGCAUGGAGCCGACCUUGAAAUACCACCCUUUAAUGUUUGAUGUUCUAACGUGGACCCGUAAUCCGGGUUGCGGACAGUGUCUGGUGGGUAGUUUGACUGGGGCGGUCUCCUCCUAAAGAGUAACGGAGGAGCACGAAGGUUGGCUAAUCCUGGUCGGACAUCAGGAGGUUAGUGCAAUGGCAUAAGCCAGCUUGACUGCGAGCGUGACGGCGCGAGCAGGUGCGAAAGCAGGUCAUAGUGAUCCGGUGGUUCUGAAUGGAAGGGCCAUCGCUCAACGGAUAAAAGGUACUCCGGGGAUAACAGGCUGAUACCGCCCAAGAGUUCAUAUCGACGGCGGUGUUUGGCACCUCGAUGUCGGCUCAUCACAUCCUGGGGCUGAAGUAGGUCCCAAGGGUAUGGCUGUUCGCCAUUUAAAGUGGUACGCGAGCUGGGUUUAGAACGUCGUGAGACAGUUCGGUCCCUAUCUGCCGUGGGCGCUGGAGAACUGAGGGGGGCUGCUCCUAGUACGAGAGGACCGGAGUGGACGCAUCACUGGUGUUCGGGUUGUCAUGCCAAUGGCACUGCCCGGUAGCUAAAUGCGGAAGAGAUAAGUGCUGAAAGCAUCUAAG